GACCACGUCGCCUAACGGACAAGGCAUCUGACGUCGUAUCAGAAGACUGAGGGUUCGAGUCCCUUUGUGGUUG